GACUUAGCGGAGUGGCGGUACAGUAGGCAAUGAAUUUUUAUUUGAGACACGGUUAUUGCUAGUUGAAAACUCCUCCCAAUAUCUCGCAUUGAUGGUGUGAAAUAUCGUCGGAAGAUGCAAUUUUUCAGGGCCAUAAAAGGC
rnacentral:snRNA from 1 species